rnacentral:tRNA from 1 species
GGCUUUGUGGUGUAGUGGUCAGCACACUGGGUGCGUAUUCCAGAGGUCCGUGGUUCAAUUCCCGGCGAAGGUG